CAGCAGCCACGGGAAUACGUAGGGUGCGAGCGUUAAUCGGAAUUACUGGGCGUAAAGCGUGCGCAGGCGGUUCGUUAAGACAGAUGUGAAAGCCCCCGGCUCAACCGGGGAGGGUCAUUGGAAACUGGGAAACUUGAGUGCAGAAGAGGAGAGUGGAAUUCCACGUGUAGCGGUGAAAUGCGUAGAGAUGUGGAGGAACACCAGUGGCGAAGGCGACUCUCUGGUCUGUAACUGACGCUGAGGAGCGAAAGCGUGGGGAGCGAACAGGAUUAGAUACCCCGGUAGUCCCUGUCUCUUAUAC
rnacentral:rRNA from 1 species